AGUAACGGCGAGUGAAGCGGCAACAGCUCAAAUUUGAAAUCUGGCUUCGGCCCGAGUUGUAAUUUGCAGAGGAUGCUUUUGGUGCGGUGCCUUCCGAGUUCCCUGGAACGGGACGCCACAGAGGGUGAGAGCCCCGUAUGGUCGGACACCAAUCCUGUGUAAAGCUCCUUCGACGAGUCGAGUAGUUUGGGAAUGCUGCUCUAAAUGGGAGGUAAAUCUCUUCUAAAGCUAAAUACCGGCCAGAGACCGAUAGCGCACAAGUAGAGUGAUCGAAAGAUGAAAAGCACCUUGAAAAGGGGGUUAAACAGUACGUGAAAUUGUUGAAAGGGAAGCACUUGUGACCAGACUUGGGCCGGGCGGCUCAUCAGGGGUUCUCCCCUGUGCAUUCCGCCCGGUACAGGCCAGCAUCGGUUCUUACCGGGGGAUAAGAACGGCAGGAACGUGGCUCCCUCUCGGGGGAGUGUUAUAGCCUGCCGUACGAUACCCUGGCGGGGACCGAGGUUCGCGCUUCCGCA
rnacentral:rRNA from 1 species